rnacentral:rRNA from 1 species
GAUUGAACGCUGGCGGCAGGCCUAACACAUGCAAGUCGAACGGUAACAGGAAACAGCUUGCUGUUUCGCUGACGAGUGGCGGACGGGUGAGUAAUGUCUGGGAAACUGCCUGAUGGAGGGGGAUAACUACUGGAAACGGUAGCUAAUACCGCAUAACGUCGCAAGACCAAAGAGGGGGACCUUCGGGCCUCUUGCCAUCAGAUGUGCCCAGAUGGGAUUAGCUAGUAGGUGGGGUAACGGCUCACCUAGGCGACGAUCCCUAGCUGGUCUGAGAGGAUGACCAGCCACACUGGAACUGAGACACGGUCCAGACUCCUACGGGAGGCAGCAGUGGGGAAUAUUGCACAAUGGGCGCAAGCCUGAUGCAGCCAUGCCGCGUGUAUGAAGAAGGCCUUCGGGUUGUAAAGUACUUUCAGCGGGGAGGAAGGGAGUAAAGUUAAUACCUUUGCUCAUUGACGUUACCCGCAGAAGAAGCACCGGCUAACUCCGUGCCAGCAGCCGCGGUAAUACGGAGGGUGCAAGCGUUAAUCGGAAUUACUGGGCGUAAAGCGCACGCAGGCGGUUUGUUAAGUCAGAUGUGAAAUCCCCGGGCUCAACCUGGGAACUGCAUCUGAUACUGGCAAGCUUGAGUCUCGUAGAGGGGGGUAGAAUUCCAGGUGUAGCGGUGAAAUGCGUAGAGAUCUGGAGGAAUACCGGUGGCGAAGGCGGCCCCCUGGACGAAGACUGACGCUCAGGUGCGAAAGCGUGGGGAGCAAACAGGAUUAGAUACCCUGGUAGUCCACGCCGUAAACGAUGUCGACUUGGAGGUUGUGCCCUUGAGGCGUGGCUUCCGGAGCUAACGCGUUAAGUCGACCGCCUGGGGAGUACGGCCGCAAGGUUAAAACUCAAAUGAAUUGACGGGGGCCCGCACAAGCGGUGGAGCAUGUGGUUUAAUUCGAUGCAACGCGAAGAACCUUACCUGGUCUUGACAUCCACGGAAGUUUUCAGAGAUGAGAAUGUGCCUUCGGGAACCGUGAGACAGGUGCUGCAUGGCUGUCGUCAGCUCGUGUUGUGAAAUGUUGGGUUAAGUCCCGCAACGAGCGCAACCCUUAUCCUUUGUUGCCAGCGGUCCGGCCGGGAACUCAAAGGAGACUGCCAGUGAUAAACUGGAGGAAGGUGGGGAUGACGUCAAGUCAUCAUGGCCCUUACGACCAGGGCUACACACGUGCUACAAUGGCGCAUACAAAGAGAAGCGACCUCGCGAGAGCAAGCGGACCUCAUAAAGUGCGUCGUAGUCCGGAUUGGAGUCUGCAACUCGACUCCAUGAAGUCGGAAUCGCUAGUAAUCGUGGAUCAGAAUGCCACGGUGAAUACGUUCCCGGGCCUUGUACACACCGCCCGUCACACCAUGGGAGUGGGUUGCAAAAGAAGUAGGUAGCUUAACCUUCGGGAGGGCGCUUACCACUUUGUGAUUCAUGACUGGGGUGAAGUCGUAACAAGGUAACCGUAGGGGAACCUGCGGUUG